CUCUUCUUAUUUGAAUUUUUAUCUUUCUCACUGAAUUCCCGAAGCCCCUCAAAUAGCUUAGGUGGUUUUAUAUCUAUAAUAAGUUAAUCACUAGUUUCAUGUGGUCAUUAAGAUUAAAGUUAAGCAUAUCUAGCAAUUAAGUUUUUGGUUUCAGGAGCCUCCUGAAGCCGGUGGCCAGCACGGACCUGCACACUUGCAUCCCCACAGGCCGUUCACAGGACAGCAGUGCUCGGCAUGUACCCCUUUGAGGACCCUUUCUCCAUCCACGUGCCAUCUCUCAGAACACUCUCCAUACGGACUUCAACCAAGAUGACUUUGUUGAGGAGAUAUUCUUGUUUAUAGGGUCAUCCUAAGUCUUCUCUGUAAUGUGCAUAUUUGGGGGCCUCAUCUAAGAAGUCUCCUCCCUAUCAGAGUAAGAGUGGGCUGUGGGGAAGGAGAGUUUAAACAGGAGUCAGGAGGUAGGGAGGUGAGAAAGACUGAAAAUUCAGUAUAUACCUGUAUGAAACUGUUUUUAAAAAAUAAGAAAAUAAAAAUACACUGUAAAAUAAAAGUAAAAGAAAAAUCUCUACCCUGAGGUCUUUGGGCAAUUUUUCUUUUGGUUUUGGGGCUUUCUUUACUUUUCUGAUGUAGGUACUGGGUCCAAUAGAGUUUUGGGGUUUUAAUACAAUUCGAGGUAAGGACCAACAUUAUGCCUGCCACCCAGUGAUGCUAAGUGGUCUUAGCUGUCCUAUAUACAUGAUCUUUAAAUCUAGUCUUUGUGUUUUACACACACGCACACACACGCACGCGCACACACACACACACACAUUGGCACACACAAAUACUCUCCUUUCAUUAAGACACAGUAUAUGGAACAGGUAUGGUGGUGCACACCUAUAAAUAAUUCCAACACUUGAAAGGCUGGGCAUGAGGGUUAUCCUAUAUUUAAGGCUAGCCUUGAGUGCAUAGUGAGGAGAAAGAGAUAUGGCAGCAUAAAUGUACAAGGGACUUGAAUCUGGGAAGAGAUUCCAGGUGCCAGGGGAGAGUUCAAAUCCACCCUAUGGAGCCAAUCAGCCCCAGCGAUGCUCAGCAAAGCUUCUUCCCUAAAGUUCUUUGCCUCUGAAGCCUCCUAAUGAAUGCAGGGUGUUGCCAUGGUAAUGGUUACUUUCAGUACUUUUUAUAGAUUACAGUGUUACACCCUGGAGUCUAUUCCUAUAAAAGCCCAACUUUUAAGCUAUCCCAAUACUUCCUUAAUGUAGCUCUUGUACGGCAUAGCAUGAGGCCUAACUGACCAGCCUUCGUGUGAUACAGACAGGCACUGUGUCCCGACACAGAAUUGCCAUUCAGCAGUAUUAAUGAAAUACAAGUUAAGUUUAUUUACCCAUUUAAAUUUAUCAGUACUUGAUGAAUUACAGUGGAGCCCUGACCAGAGGAGACCUCAGUGCCUAGACUGGGGUAUUGGCUUUAACCUUCGUUAGCUUUGAAGUCUUGAACUGUAGUAUUUCCAAGCGUCAACUGGAGAUGAUUAUAUCAACUUUGCAGGGAGCUGUGAAGAUUGAAUUUAUCUUCAUUUCGUGGCCUCCCUCAGUAGUGCAAGAGGACUUAAUGACGUCGAGUUGAUACUUAAGACGAAAAGAAUGGAUGGAAUACAUCAAGUCCCAAAAUGCUAAGAGAAGACAGCAGUUAGGGGUUGGUGGGUGCUCAAUCUCUGAGGUAGACGGAAAGGGACAAAGGAGCAGGGUCGUGGGUCCAAAACAAGGUACUUGGAGUGGAGCUCUGAGGAUCGCUCCGGGGCAAGAGUGGCGCCCGGGUGAGAGGCUGUCAAAGGUGCAAGCGCUCCCUAUGCCACACAGCGUACUGUGUGGUGAGUGUUCCCGAAGGAAGUCUAAAAGCUGUGUGCAGACAAACAUGAGGACCACGUGAGUGAGGAGCUGAGGGAGGCGAGGCGUGAACCUGGGCAGGGAGGCAGAGCAAAGAUGAAAGAUCCCUCUGCAUGGAGUGUGGCGAUCGGCUGUGACGGUAACUGAAGAUGUGGAGGGAGCCAGAACUCUCUAGAAGGCUCUGGUCUCCUGAUGAGGAAUUUCUUGAAACAACAGCAGAGGUAAUGACAACAAGUAGUUUGGUUAUGUGACAUUUGUCCCCAUUUCUGUUCCCAUUUUUUGUUUGUUUUUGUUUUGUUUUGUUUUUCCGGCAAAGUCUCACACUGUAGCCCAAGGUACUUUACAGCAAUCCUCCCCCUUCAGCUCAAGUGCUUGGAUGACAGGUAUGAGCCACUGUACCUGGCUUUUAAAAACUAUUUUCAAAAUUCAUUCGGGAAUAUUAACUGAUUUGUACAUUUUACAUUUUUUUUCUUGGCGAAAACAGAAAGUAGUUAUUCCUAAGAAACCAGUAACUAUUUAAUAAAGGAAACAUAAUUUUCAGACUUCAUUUUGUCUUUAAAAAUGUUUAAGUCAUCCAUUUCUCCCGUGUGGUCCAAACCCAUGGUCAAGGUCAGUUUCAUCAGCCAGUUCUUUUGGAAUCACGAGGGAUUUUUCUGAAAGUGGACAUCAGCUGGAGGGAGGUAUGUUAGAGUUCUCAAGGAAGACCUGCUGGUCCCAGUGGAGGACUCUCUCAUGGUGGGGACAUGUGCAAGGAAGUUGAAUGACCAGGUGCGCCUUGCUUGUGGCCAAACCAGGAUACUUCCUAACCUCUGUCUCCUGCUUGCUCUCCUCCUGGAACUGUCCUGUGUCUCAGAUGGUCGAGGGUUGUGGUUCUGGAAGCCACAUUCUCACCACACCCUCACCUAAAUGUGGAUUCAUCAUCCGAGGCCUGCACAAUCCCAUCCUGAUUUGGCCCAAGACAUUUCUACCUUCCCAAUCUCUAGCAACGCAACCAACCAGCUUCUGAUGCGAUCCCCUACUCAUGAUAUCCAUGCCAUGGAUAGGAACCCCCACUCCCCUUGUAUGUGGGAGAGGAAACCAGUGACCCCAUUUCAAUGAACGUAAUCCAACAAGGGAUGAUGGGUAUCAAUUCUGAGACUGGACUGCAAAAGACUAUGUUUUCCAUCUUCUUUAUAUAAUCUUUUUCCGACUCUUCUCACAUGCUUGCUGUGAUUAUAGCAAAUUGGAGAAAUUCACAUGUCAAGAAGCUGAGGGCAGCCUCCAGCCACCACCAAUGGAGCAAGACCCUUAUCCUUAGGUCUCGCAGAACUGAAUGCCUCUGAAAAACACACUGGGGAGGGAAGCUUAGAGGCAGAUCGUCCUCCAGUUGCACCUUCAGAUGACAUCAUAGCCUGUCUGACACCCUGGCUGUAGCCUUCUGAGAAACCUGGAGCUGGAUACACAAGUGAGCCGUGUCCAGAUAUCCUGCCCACAGGCACUGUGACUUGUUCUUAUAUCACUGUUUGUAUUAAUAGCUUGUUAUGCCUCCGAAGAUGACAGAGAUACCUACCUUCCCAUACCUACAUCCAAACCAACUACUAGAGGUUGCCCCCUGUGCUUCUCGUAGCUCCUGAAUUUAUGUACUUCUGGAAUUUGAAGGAAGGUAAUGCGUUACUUAGGGAGAGGCCUACUGUGCAGUCCACAUGUGCCUCUGGCUGCCUUUCCUCUGCUGGACAACUGCUUCUCCCGUCUGAUCUUGAUCCGGAAUUCUUCUGGGAGUGAGUGCUCCUCUCACUCUCCUGCCUUGCAGUUCUGAUGCUCCCACACCAGGCUGAGAGCCACAUGGUAUUCUUCUGUGUGCCUGACCUGGGUUCCUGGUCCAGACCCUGAUUGCUGCAUUUCUUAUCAAAUCUGGUCAGCAGAGUUUUUUGCUUUGCAUUCUGUUUUUGUUUAAUAAUUACAGGUGUAUUCUGUGGGUUACCAUUUUGAUGUCACAGAGUACCCACAUAAAUCAAAAAUAUGGCAGCCCAUCCCUGCAGGGAGGUCAGAGUCUGUCAGUCGGAAGUGUAAGGCUGGAUUCUGGGUUACCAAAGCAAGGCCAGCUCCUGCACCAGCUCUGGUCCAUGGCGGCCAGAUUGCUUCUCUUGGUCUUUCAAUCUCCCAUUCCUCAAGGAGGCAGAAAGCAUUUCUGAUGCACACAUAAGGUUCUGCGCUCAUCUUCCCGUCUUUCCGGGGCUUGGGGUGGAACUUGGCAGAUGUGCCUGUGUCCUCAUAGGGAGAUGUGAGUGUGUCAGCUCCAGGCAGGGUUGCCAACUGGCACCGCCACUCAGUGGCACAGCGGUGACUCAUGAAAGCAGCAAGGAGCAGGAUGUGGGGCUGAGAAUCAGUUCCCAGGCUCCCAGCAGUUAGGAAGCAGGCCAUUGACUUGAGGCCAAGAACGAAGAGUAAAAGUCCUGUUUCCUGGCUCCCCAGGGCUCCCACGCACUCAUGCCAGCCUGCCUGUCCAGUGUGUCCCUUGCCCUGAGCCCUCUGCUCCUACAGUUGCUUUCUGUGGACAGUAUUUUGGGGUGAUGGCUAGGCACAUCUAUUUUAGCUUCAGAACAAGGCUUACUAACCAAGGACAGGUUGGGCUUAGACAAACAAGACUGCUCGCUCUAGCCUGUGAGCAGGAUCGUUAUCUCCUCAAAAAGAUUGAACUAUAACAAGACCAUCUGCAAUUAUUUCAGACGCUGAAACACCGCCUGCCCAGAAAUCUCUGCAUAAGGGCACCCCCGGGAAUGCCUCUGCGCAAACAGCUUCUACUCUCCUGCCUCUGUGGCUGCACCACAGUGCCCCUGAUAAACUCUACUUCUCCCUUUGUGUCCUGGUAAAUACUUUUGUACCCCACAUCACUGGCCUGUUACGUCACCACCACUUCCUGGCUCAACUUUGGGACCCACAUGGGGACCUCUUUUCUUGUCCCCCCAGUAGUGUUAGUGUUGUUUGGUCAGUUGUCCUGUGAGCAACUGAAAGUCCUAGCUGGGGCUGCCCUCCAGAGACACCCAAAGGCCUCCAAGUUGUGAACCUGGACUCCCAUCGUGCAUUGGGUUUCCUUUAGGCACCUUGUAGGAAAGCUUACUGCCCAUUCAAGUGCUGUUGUGGAGAAAGCCCCACCUUCCAUUGAGUCAUCAAGCCUCAUUUUUGCUCACACAGAUCCAGACUGAACCCCUGAAUAAUUUAACUUUGAACCGAUCGCUAGAUAUGUCCUUGUAGAUGGUUUGGCUUUGUGGUGAUGUCCCUGAACUUGGAGAAGCCCUUUCUUGUAGGUGAAUUGCCCUUAUGAAGGGGUGCCUCCAGUUGAUCAUAGAUAGUAAGAGGGGUUCACUACUUACCAAGAGAAUCUCCUGAGUGGAGAUUCCUCAGUAGGUCUGCUUGUGGGACAGACCUCCUCUUUCCCUUUUGACUUCCCAGUAAGCUAUAUUCUUAAACACUGGAACAAAUCAGAGCCACACACAUUUAAUUUUCCUGUGUGAUGUCACCAGGCUACAGCCUGGGGAGCAAUAUCAGAUCUGGACCCUCCACGAUACACCAAGUCUAUGCUUUACACUUUGCUGUUACGACCUCAGUAAGCCCUCUAAAGUCCCAUGUGUUCAUGCCUUCAUGGCACUGUCCCAAGAUUUUGCCUUGUAUGAGAGAAGCUGCAUGUGUCUUGCCAAAUUUGGAACACCAAUAUUCAAUCCAGAUGUUCUUGAUAACCCCUGCUAGGGCUUUCUUUCACUCUGGCCCUAUGGCCCUAUAGCCAGGGUCCCUGACGCUCCCCAGGGACAUCAUUUCUUUUAAAUCUCUCUACCUUACCUAGACACACACACACACACACACACACACACACACACACACACACACAUACACACACCAUACAGAGGAGUUAGGAAGAGGGAAAGGGAAGGGAGGAAGUGAAAGCUCUUAUUAAGGACAGCCAAAACUAAACCUCAAAAAUCUCUUUCUCCUUCAUGAAGUGUCUAGGGGGGAAACUUGAACCAUCAGGGUACAUGAGCCAUUUGCCAUGUCAGACCUGUCACAGACUGAGACAGAAUUGGGUUCUUGGUCCCUCCCAACUCAAUGGGAGAUUAAAGAACUUACAACCUUGACCUUACCUGCAGGAAGUUUUGUUAUUUUAACUAUGUGCUAUACAGGGAUACAGGGAUAAUCUUACAUAGGAACGCUGCUACAAAGAUGGGCCAAGGAAGCCUAUGCCCAUGACCCAGAAAGGCCAGCCAUGAUGCUGAUGCAGGCCCUGGAUGGGGACCUAACUAUUCAUAUCAGACCCUAUAUGCUGUUCAUAGGGGCUACUGGGACUUCAUGACUUCUUGUCUAAUAGAGGGAAGGAGAAGGACCACUGUCAAGCCUAUCUGUUGCAAUAAACGACUCACUAAGAACCCUGCCCUGUUUCAGUUCCAGGUAAUAGAAGCCCAUGAUAAAUAUAAUGGCCUGGUUCCCAAGAGGCAAUGGGGCUAGGCUGUUGUAGCUCUCUAUUCUACUAACCAGGCUUCUUUCAACAUCAGACAAAAUAUCAAACCAUCAUCACAUCCCACCCAUCUUAGGACCACCCAAACCCUCAUUCACACAGCUCAAAACAGCCUCCUACUUCAGAAAGGCCACCCUUCACCCAUUUCUGCAGUGGCAAGCAGGGACACAUGGCUUGUCCUAACCCACCUACCUUUAGCAUAUGCCCAAAUUUAAGUGGGAGGACGCAUGAAAGUGGAACUCUCUGUCUCCCUUGUAAGAGACAGGGCAUUCUGUCCUCAGGAACACACAACAGAAAUCUCACACAGUGGAAAUCUCUGAGGACCUUAUUCAGCUUAUAUUCAGACCUUAUUAAGAGUCCAUGAGAAAACAUCCAUCCCUUGAGGGUUGAUGGGCUCCAUGGCUUUAUGGUGCCAUGCUUCCUUUAUAACGAGCCUUGGGUGACUUCAGAUAGGGAAUGCCUCAAAGCCCUAUUUCUAGUCAACACAGAGUCCCAUACUCUUCCUUGACAAAUCUCCCAAUCCCAAACAAACUCUCGGUCCCUGAUUCUUCUCACUGAGAUUGAUAUCAGACCACAGUCUGGCUGGUUGAUCUUUCCCGAGGAUGUUUGAGAGGAAGCAAACAACAGUUUUUUCCUUAUUCUUCCCUGGUCUGGCCAAACUGCCCAAUUUCUCUACUAGACAUCGUGUCAAAAUUACAGGCUAAUUUACUUUUGCGUAACACCCACCCCCACCCCGAUACAUUGUUGUUUCUCCUCCAGCCCUUUCUCUCAUAAUGCCUAGGUAGGGGCCAUUCAGUCAUGUAACAUACACGUCAGCCCUCAGCCCACCCCUAACCACUGCACCUGUCGUAAUUACUCUUACAAACCUCGCUGACCUUCUCUGAAGAUCCUACUACUCAUUGAGAUGUGAUGCCCUUGUGAGUCUGCAGUCCUUAAUUAGCAAGUCCCUGGCCACUAAGCUGUUACACCUCCAUGAUUCCCCAUGCAAUGUCCCCAUCUUGUCAAGAUGUCAGAUGGAGCUUAUAGGAUGGUCCCGGAACUGAGAGCCAUUAAUGAGACGGCAGUUAGAGUUCACCCAGUGACUCCCAAGCCCUCUACUCCCCUGAAGUGAAACCUCCUUCUUUCUCACAUAUCUCGACUCUGAUGUCAUUUUAUAAAAUCACAGGCUCUACUUGCUACUGGCUCACAUGUCCUGAUCACUUUGAACACUUUAUGCUAGACUGACCCCUAAAGGCCUUUUCUGACUAUACUGGGACAGAAAUGGUUACAUUUUCAAAGCCAUGAUCUCAUCCCAACUCCACAGGGUUCCAAUCCUUGACACUAUGUAACCUUCUCUAUUUGGCUGGUUCUUUCCCUAGCUGCCUACAGCCGUCUCCACUUCCCACCUUCUCCAAAAGUCCCAGGAUCUCCGCAGAUAACACAAUUUAACCCUUUCAAAGGACUGCUGGCUUUGCCUGUCUUUAAAUCUCAAUUGGACUGGCAGUGUUUACCCAGCCACUCCAUUCAGACUGACCCAAUUAACUAUUUCUCUUCUUACACGUUUCCAGUGGAGCCCCAUCACCCCUUCCAACAUUCUCAUGGCCAAAUAUGAGAGCGUAUCCCUCCUCCCAUACAUCUCUUUGCUUGGCACUUGAUGGUGUAGUGUAGUCUACAUUAGCCUCUCAAGCCAGGUUCACCUUUGCGUUCAGGCCACCGACCUCAGAGAAAGAUCCAUUUCUCUCACUCUGCUAACUAUAUUAGUUACUAUGCUAACCAUAUUAGGUAGGGUUACGAUUGCUUUGCUGAAACACCAAGGCCAAAUGCAACUUGAGGAGGAAACGAUUUGUUUUGUUUACACUUCUACAUUGAAGGUUCAUCUUUGGUGGAAGUUGAGACCAGGAACCUGGAGACGGGAGCUGGUGCAGAGGCCAUGGAGGGGUGCUUCUUACUGGAUUGUUCCUCAUGGCUUGCUCAGCCUAGGACUGCCAACUCAGGGAUGGCAUCACUCACAGUGGGCUGGGCACAUCAAUCAGCAGUGUGAGGGGAUUGUUCUUUGUCACACAGGGGCGUGGGUGACAUAAUGUGUGUAUUUGCUAGUGGUGCAUGCCAAACUUUGUUACUUUUAUGGCCUCUGAUAUAUGGAAACUUUGCCUCCAAUAGAACUGCAAACAAACAAACAAAAACACACUUGAUUGGAAGAGGGACAUGGGUGUGGAUGUAGAUGUAGAAAGAGCAAGGGCAUCAGAAUGGUAACAGGGCUUCCUGUAUUAAAAGGAACGUGGACUAAGCAGCCAAUGCACCAGCCACUUUGACAUUAUUUUAACUCUCCAUUUCUUAGUACUGACUCCCCCUUGCCCACUUGUAGUUUACCAUGGAAACACAUUCUUAGGUGAGUAACAGGGCUCCUCUCCUCAGACUGGAAGACACCCAGAAAUGACUUCUUUAAUGCCAGGGGUUUGAGUAUUUUGUUGUUGUUUUUUGACUGUUUAUUUGAAUGCUCGCUACUUCUGGCUGUUCCUCAAAACAUGUGAGAAGUCACUCAUGCUGAAGCAUCUCUGCUCAGAGAGUGGGCCCAGGAAGGUAAGGACCUUGUGAUAAUGAGAAUCAGCCAGCAAAUUCUUCAUGGGGCGUGUCGUAGUUGGCCAAGUGUUGGGAGCUAACCCUUCCUGGGUGAUGAGAUAGCGUUGAAUUAUGGCUCAAUCUUUGCUUCCCAGCCAGCAUUCUCUCACUGGAGAUGGCUACAUGGAUUACCUCAUAGUCACUAGGGUGGUUUGAAAGGAACUGGGCUGGUAGGUUUGUAGAGAGGGCAUUAUUAGGAGGUAUGGCCUUGUUGGAGUGGGUGUCUUAUUGGAGUGGGUGUGGCCUUGUUGGCAUAGGUGUGGCCUCGUUGGAGAAAGUGUGUCCCUAGGGACUGGGCUUUGAGGUCUCUGAAGCGCAAAGCAGGCCUGGUGGCUUAUAUAUUCUUUUUCCUGCUGCCUCUGAAUGGUUUAGAUCGAUACUCAGCUAUCUCUCCAGCACUGUGUCUGCCUGACCGCAACCACGUCUCCUGCCAUGAUGAUAGUGAGCUGAAAAAUGAACUCUGAAACUCUAAGUCAGCCUCAAUGAAAUGUUUUCCUUUACAAGAGCAGCCGUGGUCACGGUGUCUCCUCCCAGCAAUGAACGGUAACUAAGGUGGGCACUGAGACAGUCCCUUGGCAGGAGACAGGCAUUGGUAAGUACUGAAGUACACAGCCAGGACAGGAACUAUGACCGGUAAGUUCUAUAGUUAUGCCACUGCUGGGAAAUCCUCUGCUUCCUUUUAUCUGAGCCCCUAGCAUUGCCAGCAUGCACUCUGGUAUCUGGGUUUAUGGAGCCUUGGGCUAUUUUUAAAGUUUAAGCUUGUUGACUUUAAUGUACUAUCUGCCCUUGAGGGUACGAACCAUCAUUAAAACAUUUUUUAGUUAAUAUUUUGAGACUAUCAUAUAGACAUACAAUAUUUUUUACUACAUUUAUCCCCAUUUCUACUCCCAACUCAUUCAAGACUCAUUUCUACCCUUUUCCAACUUUGUUUUUGUCUCUCCCCCGCCCCCACAUCUCUCUUAUCUCACCUAAUCCAGUGUAUUCUGCCUUUAGAUUCAUGGCCAUCCACUGUGAGUGCUUGAACUACCAGGGGCCACACCCUUAAGGAAAACCUACUUUUCCUCCUGGAGGAGCCAUCAACUAGAUCCUUAUCUACAUAACCAGACCUCUGCAUUCCUGGGUUCUGUACCCAUUCGUGUAAACAACUGUGGAUUGAACACAUUAAAGGAAGAGGCUGUGUCUGUCCUGAAUGUGGAUAGACUUUCUAUUAUCAAUUGUUCCUCCAACAAGAAUAGUAUAAAACCAUUCACGUUGCAUACAGCAUGGUAAGAGAUGAUUUAAAACGUAUAGAAGGGGGCUCAGUAGUUACCUGCAAGUGCUGUGUCGUUUUAUCUGGGUUUUGAACACUGAUGGGUUUUGCUAUCGGUAGAAGAUCCUGAAACCAUCUUUUCGCCUUUGAGCUGAUGCACAUAAUUCAAACGUCGGCUGCCUAGAGGAGAAGCUUCUGUUCUGGGGGAAUUAUUGAGAGUGGAACUUGGAGAACCAUCUCUGUGUGUGACGCAUUCAUCAUAAAUGAGCUGGGAGCUUCAGCUACGCAUCUCAGACCAGAAUAAAAAUGACCUCAUGUAAAUAGUAUGGAAUUUUUUUCCAAUGAAAAAAUGACCCAAUUUAGCAGUGCACAGUGAAGUUAGCUUCCAGUGCUCUCUGGUCUGUAUGAAUGGAUUGUUUUCCUGGGGAACUGAGCCACACUAAGGCUGUCAGAGGAACCACUGGGAACUGCAGUGCUUGGAUUAAAUGGGGUAUCGGCCACAACCUGGUUGCUUGAAUCCCACUGAGAAGGACAACAAUCUUCCCAGGCAAGACUUAGCAAUGAAAAUAAACAAGCCUAUGCCAUCAACUACGUCUAUCAGAAAGAAUGGCCAACUUCAUGUUUCUUCAAUGCCAUCUCUGUUUUCUUUGAAAUUUCCUAGUGGGCUACGAAAAUUAUUAUUUCAAAUCCUUGUGAUGUUUUCUUUAGCUCUAAGGCAGUUGUGAAAGAAAACGGGGAGUCUGUGGCUCUUUUCCAAAGUCCAUGUUCUAUUUAACCCAGAGAACAGACAUAACCCACGAGUUCUCGUUAUGAAUCAAAGGCUAUCAUUCCUUCGAAACGGGUGACUUAGCAGACCCAAGUCAGAAGAUUUGUGCUGAUAGGAAGGGCAAGAAUGUACUAAGAGGAAUUUAUUUUUUUAAAAAAAAAAUCCGCUGCUAAUGUCAAGCUUGAACAAUGUGGGAUUUAACAGUACCAUCUAGUGGUGAUGUACCGCCAUCCUUGUGUUAAGUGAGGACCGUGGUUCAUUUGUGCCUGAGACUCAUGCAUCCAGUCAAUAGCUUAUCACACACACUGACUGUAAACUCAGAAGCAGAAAGGCCAUCUUUUAUUGCUCUAGGGAAUGAAG
rnacentral:sRNA from 1 species